rnacentral:lncRNA from 1 species
AAAUAUACAAAUAAAGUAUGUUGGAUGCGACUAAGCAUUCUCUAACUGUAAAAAUAAUUUGUGAGGCAAGAAAAGCUAUGAUAUGGCCAGGCAUGGUGGCUCACACCCAUAAUCCCAGCACUUUGGGAGGCCAAGGUGGGUGGAUCACCUGAAGUCAGGAGUUCGAGACCAGCCUGGGCAACAUGGUAAAACCCCAUCUCUACUAAAAAUACAAAAUUAGCUGGGCGUGGCGGCGUAUGCCUGUGAUCCCAGCUACUUGGGAGGCUGAGGCAGGAGAAUCACAUGAACCUGGGAGACGGAGGUGGCGGUAAGCCAAGAUCACACCACUGCACUUCAACCUGGGCAAUAGAGUGAGAAGAAAAUCUAUGAUAUAUAUUGAAAACACCAAUGCCAUUAGGAAAUAAGUGGUAUGAGGUUGUUAUUUAUUUAGUUAGGGAUGUUAUAGACAGUGGUAAAUACUAAUGAAUGUUUAUGCUUUGUGUCAGUGGUGUGACUGAUACUGUCUGGCUAUGUAGAGUAAAUAAAAUAUAUGUUAUCUCAAAUAACCUAUAUAACUGAAUCAGUGGAAGAUAGAAUGCAAAGAGUAAUGCAGAUAAUGUCUUAAUCUUUUCUGGUCAUCUCUUGUGCUCUGUACUCCUCAAAAUAAACACACUCUGGCUGAUUUUAUCAUUCUUUUUUAAUGGUAAGAUCCAUGGUUGCAUCUAUGUGUUAUAUGGUGUGUGGAGACCAAUCACUCCCUGCACUGAUUCUGCCAUGACCACUUGCUCUAUGGUUGUUUUAAGGAACCUACAGACAAAUAUGGAUUAUCAUUGGUGAAGAUCUUGGCUGGUAAGUCUCUGGGAAAAAGGCUAUAGACCUAUACAAAUAAUGCCCAAAGUUCUUGUCCUUGGGUGUGGUGUUUACUCAGAGGUAUUUAUUGUAUUAUAAAAUAAUGCAUAAAUGACUACAUCUAUAUACAGAAUUAAAAAAGAACAGGGAUGAGAGUGUGUUACACACCAAUAAUUAGAAUGAGUCCAAUCAGAACAUCUGUGGAAUUAUAUAUUUUUAAUAUCCCAAAACACUGAGUUUUAUGAAUAAAUUAAUAAAUCAGGAAUGUUCCUUCUUUUGGUAAGGAUCAUAUAGACAAAGAAUAGUAAUAGUCAACAUUUUUGCUCUGGGAGAAUGGUGAGUUCAAGUUUGUCUUGUUAAGAGAAACAAAUAAAUAAUUUCACAAAUUUAUCAAUACCUAAUUAUAAAUAGCUAAGCAAAUUAAGGGGGGAACAUGGAUCAAUUGAAAGAAUUUUUGAUAUUUUCACUCCCUUUUUGUAAGGGAUAUUCCUGCAUAUUUUGU